UCUUCGGAGAGUUUGAUCCUGGCUCAGGACGAACGCUGGCGGCGUGCCUAAUACAUGCAAGUCGAGCGAAUCGAUGGGAGCUUGCUCCCUGAGAUUAGCGGCGGACGGGUGAGUAACACGUGGGCAACCUACCUAUAAGACUGGGAUAACUUCGGGAAACCGGAG
rnacentral:rRNA from 1 species